GACUCUCUGAAAAAUCUAUGUGAAAUUCCUCUUGUCUACUAUAAUCAAGAUCUCACUGCCUAUAGUGACGACCUAACCCACCCUUACAUCAAAUCUUUUCAAAAUCAGAUUUUCAUAGUUUUUCUCCCAAACCAAAAUCAUCACCUCCUUAAAACUCAAUCAUUUCAAAACCUGGUUAUUGGAAAAGAGAUGCUAAGACAAAAAAGAUGGGUCAAAACUCAAAGAACAUUGGUUUGGGAAAUAAGGAAGAUAUCAUGGUAUCUCAUCAGAAAAAGAGGAAGGAAGUUACUCAACACCAGAACUUUAAGAAAAACAAGAACAAGGAAGAUUUGAGCAGUGAAAUCGAAGAUUCUUCCACGACAAAGAAUAUAUUUGCACCCAAAAUAGCGACUAUCCAUGCUGCAAUUGAAGAGUGCUGAUAAGAGAGCUAUGGAGCCUCCUAGUACCAGCCGUACUUACGAUUUAUCUGAUGAGGCUUAUUUCGAGAUGGUGAAAGUUACUCAUCGUCUGAAAAGAUUUGACGUCUCUUUUGGUAGUCCGGCGGGUCAAGCCGGCAUCUUGACCAAGAAGAUCUUGAUGGAUAACACUUGUGGUGCCAACGAGAUAGUUGUGACCGUUGGUCAGGUAGAUGCAGGACUUCGCCUUCCUCUAUACUGUCCGCUAGAUCCAUUUUAGUACGAGGUCCUUUGCAAGCUUAGUCCCCAGCGAGGUAUUUUUCAACCCAAUGGUAACUUCUACAGGAUUAUGCGAGAAAGUAAUCGGCGAAGUAAAGGCAAAGUUAUUGCGCAUCCGAUGAAUGAUUUCGUGUCUUCUCAGUUGGAUUUGUACACAUCCGAUACUUUUGUGGAUAACUACUAGUGUCAGCAGUCGUCCGAUGCGUUCGAGGGUUUCAGGGUUGGGAUUUAUAGAUCUCGCAAAUCUCCCAAGGGUCCUCGGCUCAUGACCGACUUGGAUCCUCAUCUUGCUAGCAAUAUUAUGCUUCGUAAUACCCAUGAUCCUAAAUGGUUUUUGAUUCCUCUUCGCAUCGUGGGGCCCUACAUCUUUGGUUGGGAUGAGCUUGGAAAUGUCCUUCCUGGGAUUCCUGAUAUGCAUAGUCAUCUAUCGCCUUAUAAGCCAUGAGAGCUUAAAUGGGUUCCGUCUCGUAGACGUCCCUCACCAUCUCCCCAGGCUAUUAAGGAUGCUAAGAGGAGAAGGGGUUUUUGAUGGCUCUGGGCCAUCUACUGCUUCUGUGGAGGUUGCAGAACAUGCUAUGGAGGUUGAUAUUGGUGCUUUGUUUGGCGAGAACGAGGUGGUGGACCUUGGCGAUGCAUUCUUUGAUGAUCUUGACCAAGCUUUGUUGAAUGAUCCCUGUUAGAGCAUUGCUCGGUCGAACUCGCAUGCGUUGCUAUAUCAAGCAUGU